rnacentral:rRNA from 1 species
GAUGAACGCUGGCGGCGUGCCUAAUACAUGCAAGUCGAGCGAACGGACGAGAAGCUUGCUUCUCUGAUGUUAGCGGCGGACGGGUGAGUAACACGUGGAUAACCUACCUAUAAGACUGGGAUAACUUCGGGAAACCGGAGCUAAUACCGGAUAAUAUUUUGAACCGCAUGGUUCAAAAGUGAAAGACGGUCUUGCUGUCACUUAUAGAUGGAUCCGCGCUGCAUUAGCUAGUUGGUAAGGUAACGGCUUACCAAGGCAACGAUGCAUAGCCGACCUGAGAGGGUGAUCGGCCACACUGGAACUGAGACACGGUCCAGACUCCUACGGGAGGCAGCAGUAGGGAAUCUUCCGCAAUGGGCGAAAGCCUGACGGAGCAACGCCGCGUGAGUGAUGAAGGUCUUCGGAUCGUAAAACUCUGUUAUUAGGGAAGAACAUAUGUGUAAGUAACUGUGCACAUCUUGACGGUACCUAAUCAGAAAGCCACGGCUAACUACGUGCCAGCAGCCGCGGUAAUACGUAGGUGGCAAGCGUUAUCCGGAAUUAUCGGGCGUAAAGCGCGCGUAGGCGGUUUUUUAAGUCUGAUGUGAAAGCCCACGGCUCAACCCGUGGAGGGUCAUUGGAAACUGGAAAACUUGAGUGCAGAAGAGGAAAGUGGAAUUCCAUGUGUAGCGGUGAAAUGCGCAGAGAUAUGGAGGAACACCAGUGGCGAAGGCGACUUUCUGGUCUGUAACUGACGCUGAUGUGCGAAAGCGUGGGGAUCAAACAGGAUUAGAUACCCUGGUAGUCCACGCCGUAAACGAUGAGUGCUAAGUGUUAGGGGGUUUCCGCCCCUUAGUGCUGCAGCUAACGCAUUAAGCACUCCGCCUGGGGAGUACGACCGCAAGGUUGAAACUCAAAGGAAUUGACGGGGACCCGCACAAGCGGUGGAGCAUGUGGUUCAAUUCGAAGCAACGCGAAGAACCUUACCAAAUCUUGACAUCCUUUGACAACUCUAGAGAUAGAGCCUUCCCCUUCGGGGGGGCAAAGUGACAGGUGGUGCAUGGUUGUCGUCAGCUCGUGUCGUGAGAUGUUGGGUUAAGUCCCGCAACGAGCGCAACCCUUAAGCUUAGUUGCCAUCAUUAAGUUGGGCACUCUAAGUUGACUGCCGGUGACAAACCGGAGGAAGGUGGGGAUGACGUCAAAUCAUCAUGCCCCUUAUGAUUUGGGCUACACACGUGCUACAAUGGACAAUACAAAGGGCAGCGAAACCGCGAGGUCAAGCAAAUCCCAUAAAGUUGUUCUCAGUUCGGAUUGUAGUCUGCAACUCGACUACAUGAAGCUGGAAUCGCUAGUAAUCGUAGAUCAGCAUGCUACGGUGAAUACGUUCCCGGGUCU